CAGUUCCAUUUUCUUCAGUCAAGGUUGUCCACCACCAUGCCGAUUGGACCGGAAGCCACCUUGCACACAAAGUCAAAAGAAAAUUGGAAACAGGAUUGUCCACCACGUCAAUUGGACUGGAAGCCGCCCUGCACACAAAGUCAAAAGAAAAUUGCAAACAGGUGAGCACUCCUCAAUCUCAUUUUCUGAGCUCGUUUGCAUCUUACCUCGGAAUUUAAUGCCUUUUCCCCACCUGCAAA